UAGCUAGUUGGUGAGGUAAAAGCUCACCAAGGCGACGAUCUGUAGCGGGUCUGAGAGGAUGAUCCGCCACACUGGAACUGAGACACGGUCCAGACUCCUACGGGAGGCAGCAGUGGGGAAUUUUGGACAAUGGGGGCAACCCUGAUCCAGCCAUGCAGCGUGAGUGAAGAAGGCCUUCGGGUUGUAAAGCUCUUUCAGCCGGGAAGAAAACGCAUGGGUUAAUACCCUGUGUGGAUGACGGUACCGGAAUAAGAAGCACCGGCUAACUACGUGCCAGCAGCCGCGGUAAUACGUAGGGUGCGAGCGUUAAUCGGAAUUACUGGGCGUAAAGCGUGCGCAGGCGGUUUGGUAAGACAGGCGUGAAAUCCCCGGGCUUAACCUGGGAACUGCGUUUGUGACUGCCAGGCUAGAGUACGGCAGAGGGGGGUGGAAUUCCACGUGUAGCAGUGAAAUGCGUAGAGAUGUGGAGGAACACCAAUGGCGAAGGCAGCCCCCUGGGUCGAUACUGACGCUCAUGCACGAAAGCGUGGGUAGCAAACAGGAUUAGAUACCCUGGUAGUCCACGCCCUAAACGAUGUCAACUAGGUGUUGGGAGGGUAAAACCUUUUAGUACCGUAGCUAACGCGAGAAGUUGACCGCCUGGGGAGUACGGCCGCAAGGUUAAAACUCAAAGGAAUUGACGGGGACCCGCACAAGCGGUGGAUGAUGUGGAUUAAUUCGAUGCAACGCGAAAAACCUUACCUACCCUUGACAUGUCAGGAACUUGCCAGAGAUGGCUUGGUGCCCGAAAGGGAACCUGAACACAGGUGCUGCAUGGCUGUCGUCAGCUCGUGUCGUGAGAUGUUGGGUUAAGUCCCGCAACGAGCGCAACCCUUGUCGUUAAUUGCCAUCAUUCAGUUGGGCACUUUAACGAGACUGCCGGUGACAAACCGGAGGAAGGUGGGGAUGACGUCAAGUCCUCAUGGCCCUUAUGGGUAGGGCUUCACACGUCAUACAAUGGUCGGUACAGAGGGUUGCCAAGCCGCGAGGUGGAGCCAAUCCCAGAAAGCCGAUCGUAGUCCGGAUUGCAGGCUGCAACUCGCCUGCAUGAAGUCGGAAUCGCUAGUAAUCGCGGAUCAGCAUGUCGCGGUGAAUACGUUCCCGGGUCUUGUACACACCGCCCGUCACACCAUGGGAGCGGGUUCCGCCAGAAGUAGGUAGCCUAACCGCAAGGAGGGCGCUUACCACGGCGGGGUUCGUGACUGGGGUGAAGUCGUAACAAGGUAGCCGUAGGGGAACCUGCGGCUG
rnacentral:rRNA from 1 species